AUUGAACGCUGGCGGCAUGCCUUACACAUGCAAGUCGAACGGCAGCACGGGUGCUUGCACCUGGUGGCGAGUGGCGAACGGGUGAGUAAUACAUCGGAACGUACCUUAUCGUGGGGGAUAACGCAGCGAAAGCUGUGCUAAUACCGCAUACGCCCUGAGGGGGAAAGCGGGGGAUCGCAAGACCUCGCGCGAUUAGAGCGGCCGAUGCCUGACUAGCUUGUUGGUGGGGUAAAAGCCCACCAAGGCGACGAUCAGUAGCUGGUCUGAGAGGACAGUCAGCCACACUGGGACUGAGACACGGCCCAGACUCCUACGGGAGGCAGCAGUGGGGAAUUUUGGACAAUGGGGGCAACCCUGAUCCAGCAAUGCCGCGUGAGUGAAGAAGGCCUUCGGGUUGUAAAGCUCUUUUGUCAGGGAAGAAACACCGGCUCUAACACAGUCUGGGAAUGACGGUACCUGAAGAAUAAGCACCGGCUAACUACGUGCCAGCAGCCGCCGUAA
rnacentral:rRNA from 1 species